GGAAAUGUGCCUCCUGCUUCACUUGAGAGAGAGUUCUGAACUGAAGAUAGGUGCUUAUGUAGAGGGUGGACACCAGAAGAGGAAUUCAAAAGACAGAAUCUUACCCCUAUGAGAAAACCUGGUCACGGGAAGAAUCCUGCAAGAAACAUUCAUGGAUACCUUGAAGGUCAAGGACAUCAUGUGAGCUACUCACAACUUUCACAGGAGAUUAAUCUGGAGGCUCAGGGAGUCAUAACAACAAGCCUCAAGACACUGCAAUGUCCAACUUUUACAGCCAGCGCAGCCUAUAUAUCCUGUAUAAUAAGAACCUCCAAGACUCAGCCCAGCAAUAUCUAAGGUAGCUGAGCAAUGACCCGAAGAAGGACAUUUCCAUCCUUGGAGACAAACCUUGUGUAAAAAUGGAGACUUGAAUCCAGGACUUUAAUCCCCAGAAGUCCUUGCUCCACUUCCCCAGAAUGCUUUGUAAUCUCCUUGUAACCUCACCUGGGCGGAGAGCAACUUGGCUCUCCACCUAGCAAGCAAGAUGUGAGUGAUCGUGAAUAGGCUCUCUGGGCCUAGACACAUGCCUUUCUUACUUGUGUUUUCUUUAUAUUUUAACCUUUAAUAAACCUCUAAAAAUAUAAUACUCCUUGCA
rnacentral:lncRNA from 1 species